ACAGGUGGCCUCAUUAACCUGGUUCGCCGCGUGCCGCUGUUUUACUCUGAGCGCUAACUUAACAGAUCGAUAAUAUUCAAAGUAAUUGAGCAGUUAACGUUCAUUAGAAUCAGAAAAAAAGCAUUCAGACUUUGCUGAUAAAUCGCUUUUGCUGUCAUGACUCAGCAGAACCUGGAGGAGCACCAGGACCUCCUUUAGACAGAGAAAUCCCUGAGAACGAACGCCGACAGUGAAGCCUGAAGACGGAAGCAAAAUAAAUCCUCAUGUGGAGUUUUUUCAGUGGAUGAGAGGGGACAGCUGGAUCCUUUCAGGAAGAGGUACUCGGAUGGACUUUUGGUUUAAAGCCGUUUUUCUCUUUGAGGCUGAGAGCGAAGACGCAGACCAAACACUCCGUGUGCGACCGUGUAAAGGGAAACAUCCGACGACCGCUUGGAUCCGUCGUGAAACCAUCUAACCGGGGAUCAGACGCAUCAACAACAGUCGACUGAAGCAUUUAUCCACAGAAGAGUCAGAUGUUUAAAAAAAAA